rnacentral:rRNA from 2 species
CCGUUUGUUGUUGACUCUGAAUAACUUAGCUGAUCGCAUGGUCUUGUACCGGCGACAUAUCUUUCAAGUAUCUGCCUUAUCAACUUUCGAUGGUAGUUUAUGUGCCUACCAUGGUUGCAACGGGUAACGGAAAAUAAGGGUUUGAUUCCGGAGAGGGAGCCUGAGAAACGGCUACCACAUCUAAGGAAGGCAGCAGGCGCGCAAAUUACCCACUGGAGGUGCUCCGAGGUAGUGACUAACAAUAACGAGACCGUCUUCUAUGAGGCCGGUUAUCGGAAUGGGUACAAUUUAAACCCUUUAACGAGGAUCUAUGAGAGGGCAAGUCUGGUGCCAGCAGCCGCGGUAAUUCCAGCUCUCAAGGUGUAUAUCCCUAUUGCUGCGGUUAAAAAGCUCGUAGUUGGAUCUCCGCCUCAGGACGUGGUCCGCCUUUAGGUGUGUACUGCGAUCCUAGGCAGUUACUGCUGGUUUUCAGCCGGUGGCCUUAACUGGUUGCCGGUUGUGGCUAGCGAGUUUACCUUGAGUAAAUCAGAUUGCUCAAGAAAGGCGUUUCGCCUGAAUGUUUGUGCAUGGAAUAAUGGAAUAGGACUUCGGUUCUGUUUUGUUGGUUUUCUGAACUGAAGUAAUGAUUAAGAGGAACAGACGGGGGCAUUCGUAUCGCUGCGUGAGAGGUGAAAUUCUUGGACCGCAGCGGGACGCCCAACAGCGAAAGCAUUUGCCAAGAAUGUUUCA